rnacentral:rRNA from 1 species
AUUGAACGCUGGCGGCAUGCCUUACACAUGCAAGUCGAACGGCAGCGCGGGAGCAAUCCUGGCGGCGAGUGGCGAACGGGUGAGUAAUAUAUCGGAACGUGCCCAGUAGUGGGGGAUAGCCCGGCGAAAGCCGGAUUAAUACCGCAUGAGACCUGAGGGUGAAAGCGGGGGAUCGCAAGACCUCGCGCUACUGGAGCGGCCGAUAUCAGAUUAGCUAGUUGGUGGGGUAAAGGCCUACCAAGGCAACGAUCUGUAGUUGGUCUGAGAGGACGACCAGCCACACUGGGACUGAGACACGGCCCAGACUCCUACGGGAGGCAGCAGUGGGGAAUUUUGGGACAAUGGGCGCAAGCCUGAUCCAGCAAUGCCGCGUGCAGGAAGAAGGCCUCGGUUGUAACUAGCUUUGUUCAGGGUAAGGAAA